rnacentral:misc_RNA from 1 species
AAACCCUUGGCCAGGUUGACGUCGACGGGAAUGAACAGAUCUCAAGCGCGGAGCUCGAUGCCUAUGCUGCGACGAGCGCGAACAGGCUCGCGUCGGGUUUGAAACUGUCUGCGGACGAGCGAGUGCUCUCGCUGACGCUCUCCGAUGCAGUUGCGAAGUUGUCGCCGGGCCAAGGUGGUCUGCGUGUCCUGCGACUGGAGAUCGAUUACGUCGCCGAUCUUGCCGAUCCCCGUGCGUCGAUCGCCUACUCGGAUCAGAACUUCGCGUCGCGGCUGGGCUGGAAAGAGAUCGUUGCUUACACAUCCGACGGC